rnacentral:rRNA from 1 species
GAGAGAGAGUUCAAGAGUACGUGAAACUGCUCAGAGGCAAACGGGUGGGCCCUCGAAAUCCCUUCUCGGAGGGAUUCAGUCCGACGCACCGGGAGCCCGGUUCGUAACCAUCGGACCCGUAGCCAGGCCGGACGGGCCGGGCGAUCGCGGGGCAGCGGACGCACUUCCUUCCGCGCAGAGGACGCCGCAACCGGUCGGGUAGCAGCGAGAGUCGACCAUGAGGGUCCGCGCCGGCAGGUGGCCGGGGAAGAGGCUCGCUUUCUUUCCCGGUCGUUAGCCAGCGGACGCCGCGGUGCGACACCCGACCGAGGCACAUCGUUCCCUGGUCUGGGAACGAGCCGCGCACUGUAACAUCGACAGCGGGGCCCACGGCACGCGCGUCGCCGCGCAGCCGCGUCACUCUCCGAGUGGUCGGCUCGCGGCGGACUCGGUUGGCCGGGGCGCGCCCGCGGUUUACGGCGCAGACGGUUGGCGGCGAGCAGGUCGGUCACCCACCCGACCCGUCUUGAAACACGGACCAAGGAGUCUAACAUGUGCGCGAGUCACUGGGUCUUGCUCAGGCCCACGGGCGCAAUGAAAGUGAAAGAUAUCGAGUCGAGACUCCGGCCUCGAGCCGGAUGCACCGACGGCCCGUCCGAUCCUCCACGCGAGGACGGGCGGAGUCGGAGCGCACACGUUGGGACCCGAAAGAUGGUGAACUAUGCCCGGGCAGAACGAAGCCAGAGGAAACUCUGGUGGAGGUUCGCAGCGGUUCUGACGUGCAAAUCGAUCGUCAGACCCGGGUAUA